rnacentral:rRNA from 1 species
GAUGAACGCUAGCGGCAGGCUUAAUACAUGCAAGUCGAGGGGCAGCAGCUCUGUAGCAAUACAGAGGCUGGCGACCGGCAAACGGGUGCGGAACACGUACGCAACCUACCCAAACUGAGGAAUAGCCCGGGGAAACCCGGAUUAAUACUUCGUAACAUAAUUGAAUGGCAUCAUUUAAUUAUUAUAGCUCCGGCGGUUUUGGAUGGCGUGCGCCUGAUUAGGUAGUUGGAGGGUUAACGGCCUACCAAGCCAACGAUCAGUAACUGGUGUGAGAGCACGACCAGUCACACGGGCACUGAGACACGGGCCCGACUCCUACGGGAGGCAGCAGUAGGGAAUAUUGGUCAAUGGACGCAAGUCUGAACCAGCCAUGCCG